rnacentral:rRNA from 1 species
AUACGUAGGGGGCGAGCGUUGUCCGGAAUGAUUGGGCGUAAAGGGCGCGUAGGCGGCCCGGUAAGUCUGGAGUGAAAGCCCUGUUUUUAAGAUGGGAAUUGCUUUGGAUACUGUCGGGCUUGAGUGCAGGAGAGGUAAGUGGAAUUCCCAGUGUAGCGGUGAAAUGCGUAGAGAUUGGGAGGAACACCAGUGGCGAAGGCGACUUACUGGACUGUAACUGACGCUGAGGCGCGAAAGUGUGGGGAGCAAACAGGAUUAGAUACCCUGGUAGUCCACACUGUAAACGAUGAAUGCUAGGUGUAGGGGGUAUCGACCCCUUCUGUGCCGCAGUCAACACAAUAAGCAUUCCGCCUGGGGAGUACGGCCGCAAGGUUGAAACUCAAAUGAAUUGACGGGG